rnacentral:rRNA from 1 species
AUUGAACGCUGGCGGCAGGCCUAACACAUGCAAGUCGAACGAGUGGCGGACGGGUGAGUACUGUCUGGGAAACUGCCCGCUGGAGUGGGCUACCUACUGGAAACGGUCGCUAAUACCGCAUACCAUCGGAUGUGCCCCGAUGGGAUUAGCGAGUAGGUGGGGUAACGGCUCACCUAGGCGACGAUCCCUAGCUUGUCUGAGAGGAUGAACAGCCAAACUGGACACGAGACACGGUCCAGACGCCUACGUGAGGCAGCAGUGGGGAAUAUUGCACAAUGGGCGCAAGCCUGAUGCAGCCAUGCCUCGUGUAUGAAGAAGGCCUUCGGGUUGUAAAGUACUUUCAGCGAGGAGGCGUUACUCGCAGAAGAAGCACCGGCUAACUCCGUGCCAGCAGCCGCGGUAAUUC